rnacentral:rRNA from 1 species
AACGAACGCUGGCGGCAGGCUUAACACAUGCAAGUCGAGCGCCCCGCAAGGGGAGCGGCAGACGGGUGAGUAACGCGUGGGAAUCUACCCAUCACUACGGAACAACUCCGGGAAACUGGAGCUAAUACCGUAUACGUCCUUCGGGGGAAAGAUUUAUCGGUGAUGGAUGAGCCCGCGUUGGAUUAGCUAGUUGGUGGGGUAAUGGCCUACCAAGGCGACGAUCCAUAGCUGGUCUGAGAGGAUGAUCAGCCACACUGGGACUGAGACACGGCCCAGACUCCUACGGGAGGCAGCAGUGGGGAAUAUUGGACAAUGGGCGAAAGCCUGAUCCAGCCAUGCCGCGUGAGUGAUGACGGCCCUAGGGUUGUAAAGCUCUUUCGCAGGUGAAGAUAAUGACGGUAACCUGAGAAGAAGCCCCGGCUAACUUCGAGCCAGCCGCCGCCGUAACAC